rnacentral:rRNA from 1 species
GGCUAACUCCGUGCCAGCAGCCGCGGUAAUACGGAGGGUGCGAGCGUUAAUCGGAAUUACUGGGCGUAAAGCGCAUGCAGGCGGCCUGUUAAGUCAGAUGUGAAAAGCCCCGGGGCUUAACCUCGGAAUUGCAUUUGAAACUGGCAGGCUAGAGUCUUGUAGAGGGGGUAGAAUUUCAGGUGUAGCGGUGAAAAUGCGUAGAGAUCUGAAGGAAUACCAGUGGCGAAGGCGGCCCCCCUGGACAAAGACUGACGCUCAGAUGCGAAAGCGUGGGGAGCAAACAGGAUUAGAUACCCUCGGUAG